rnacentral:rRNA from 1 species
AUCUCCAAUAGUGUAUCUUAAUGUUGUUGCAGUUAAAAAGCUCGUAGUUGAAUUUCUGGCCGGCUGGUCACCCUCAGGGGUCGAUCUUGGCUAGGUCAUCCGCAUUGGAAGGCAUUGCGUCCGAAAGGUCCAGUGUUGGAAGGUGCAUUUUACUUUGAAGAAAUUAGAGUGUUCCAGGCAGGCUAUGCUUGAAUACAACAGCAUGGAAUAAUGGAAUAGGACAUUGUCUAUUUGAUUGGUUAUUGGACUUUGUAAUGAUUAACAGGGACAGUUGGGGGCAUUCGUAUUCAAUAGUCAGAGGUGAAAUUCUUGGAUUUAUUGAAGACGAACAGAUGCGAAAGCGUUUGCCAAGGAUGUUUUCA